rnacentral:lncRNA from 1 species
CAAGAGCAAAACCAAUCAACCACAGGUCGAUCGAUUCGCGAAGUACCCUCCGAUCACAACCCAAGACCGCCAUGGCUGACAAGUGCGGCAACUGCGACUGCGCCGACAAGACCCAGUGCGUGUAAGUACAGUACCUACCACACAGCUAGAUCGAGCUAAUCCGUCUCUUCCACGUGCAUCGUCUGUAUAGUCCGAUCUUCGUAUCGAUCUUUGCUCUACCCUGUCUGAAUACAUGUUCCUGUGGUGGUUCUGUCAUCUCAUGUGUGCAGGAAGAAGGGCGACGGCUACGGCAUCGUCAUGGUCGACACCGAGAAGAGGUACUGCGCACUAGUAGUAGUAUUUCACUUCGCUGAUCCGUUCCGGUUUACCUUAAACUAUACUAUGUAGAAAGUAGAAACUAAUCGGUUGAAACUGCCCACACACGCACACACACACAAAGUAAAUUUAUGACAUGGUCACACAAAGCUUAGCUUGCUGAGAGAUUAGCCAAAAUUAAAUCCAGUUGCAAGAUCUACUCCAUGGAAGGACUUCAUCCAGGACGAUCUUGAUAUAGCCUCCGGAACUAAAUAAAAAUUGAUUUGACUAGAGAUCUCUAUCGAAGACCUAACGUUGGCCCAUGCAUGUGCAGCCACUUCGAGGUGCAGGAGGCCGCGGAGAACGACGGCAAGUGCAAGUGCGGCGCCAGCUGCACCUGCACCAACUGCACCUGCGGCCACUGAACAGGCCCGCCCCGCUGGGCCUCUCGGUCAUCGCGUACGCCUCUACCCGUACUAGUAACCCGUGUCAAUAAAGGUCGAUCUGUACGUGUGUGUCUACGUAUGUUGUGUUGUCG